UGAAGACGCCGGCAAUCUUCCCAAACGAGGACUGGCGAAACGGCACACACGUGGACGUCGGCGGCUGCGACUCGGGGCCGCUCACUUUCGUCGUCCGCAACAGCUCCAACCCCGACUACCCGUGCAGUAGCAGCAGCAUGAAUGUUGGUGUGACCUUUUACUCCUCUGAAGUCGCCGCGUCACCCCCCGCGUGUGUCAUCUGCUGGAACGGCACCUACCUCACCCCCCACACCACGUGGGCCAACGAGUCCCUGUUGCCCGGAUGUGCAACCUCGGACUCGGACGAAGGCUAUCAUAUGACUUACUAUUGGUUUCACAUCAUGUCCUGGACAACUAAAUAAAACUAUAGAACUGGC